CGCCUCUCCGACCACUUCACCCUGCGAGAGAU
rnacentral:scRNA from 1 species